rnacentral:lncRNA from 1 species
AGGAAGCAGCAGCCUCCGCUCCGCGGCGGGUGUGCUCGGCAGUCACAGACCCACUCAGGACACCUCCCGUUGCCGACGGGCUAGACCUGCAUCCGAAGGGCCUAAGCGGGGAGGAACCGCUUUCCACCACUCUCCAGGGACCUGGGGAGGGAAUGUUUAGGCCGUAGGGGUGGAGGACACAGGAAACGUAACAUUUUUCCUUAACUGCGCCUCUCUUCUUAGGCCUUAAAGGGGUCCCCGUGUCUCUCCAGUCUAGAGCCUAAGUUCAAACGAGGCGUAUAGGCGAGGACAGCAGGAAGGCUCCAAGUCAAACAAACGGAUGGUACGAAUUUCGCCUGGUCUAGCCCUGCCCCAACGGUGUGGGUGUGGGUUGGGUGCUGCAGCCCCCGAGCAAGGGGCUGUCACAGCCACAACCAGAGGAGCUAUGGAGCUGCUACGGAGGAGGGAUUCCAGAGUCAGCUUGGGCUUGUCCCAAGGGAGCCCUUGGGACAGUGUCUGGGGCUGCGCGGCCUGGUUCUCAUCCCUUGCAGCAUCUGCUAUUUUAGCCAGGGGCCACCUUCCUCCAAUGGCCUGGGAGUAGCUAGAGGUUAGAGGUUACACCCACCAGAAGGGAUGUAAGCCCAGGAAGUAGUCAGAAAGGAAAGGUCAUUCUAGAGAUGGGGCCACCUGAAAAACCUUCAGGAGGAAGGAGAAAGGAAAUGGGAUAAGUGUCAUGUCAUACUAAAUAUUUAUUUUCUGCAGACUGACUUCGGAGUAAUUCUUGAGCCAGGAGGGGAGAGGUUAGUGUUCAAAUUGCUGAGAUCUUAGGUCAAAAAGCUACAGAAAAGAAAUCACUUUGAAAAACACAAUGACUCAGAGGCAGUCACCCCUUGCCAGCAAUUCCAAGAGCUGAGGAGGCUUCAUGCCUCAGGACAUGGUGACUAGUUGAGUGAACCAGAGAUUGAGGCAGUGGUUUUUACAGGGGAAGAAACAAGCCUUGGGUGUAUGGGAGCAGGAAAGGAGGGUGACAGACUGGAGAAAUGAUAAAGGCCAUUUUGGAAGCCCACAGGGAAGUGGUCUUGGGAAACCUGAAGACACUGGGAUAUUCAGAAGGCCAAGGGGAUCCAGCUUAUCCUGUUGGGCAAGGUGCUGGGAGUGAAGGCAGGAACUACCAAAGCCACGGAUCAGCUGAGUUACCCGGGCUAAUAGCAGGAGGAAACAGUGUCAGAGAGGGAUCUGGCUGAUCUUCAACUCCACUAAGUUCUCCCCAAGGUAUAGCCAUCCUUAUCAUCAAACCCUCUUUUCUGGUAUUCUCUCAAUCCAGUCUUUCAUACUCUAUUCCCCCACCAUGUAAUCUGCAUCCUUUCAUUUUUCUUUUCCACUUCCCUUACCACUGAUCCCAUCAUUACCAUAUUUUCCUCAUACCUUCUUCCCCUCGAAGUCGCUCAGCCUGUCCACGCUCAAUCAAAGCCUCAGCCUCCUUCACAAAUGCCACUAAACCCCCAAAAGGGGGAGACAGCAACUCUUCAAUGAAUUCCUGGAAAGACACAAACACAUAUACACAGGUGUCCUGGUGUCAGCAGAUUUGCCCAAUUCUGGCAUCAUGACUAAUGUAGAUCCAUCUGAAUGGCAUCUUUCAGCUGCUGCAAAAGUUAAGGAAAAUCCUCUAUGGAGAAAAAUAUCCUCAAUCCUAAUUUUGGCCCAUACAGUUCCCCUGGUUAAGAUCAAACAAUGAACUCAAAGAUCACUAGACACAAAAGAAGGGCAGCUACCAAGAGAGUCAGCAGACACAAUAAGCAAUAGCUGCUGACCUUAAGAACUAUCCGAUACGGAUAGCAGUUGUACUGUGUGCAAUGUCUAAAGUUAAGGAUAGGCCGGGCACAGUGGCUCACGCCUGUAAUCCCAGCACUUUGGGAGGCUGAGGUGGGCAGAUCACCUGAGGUCAGGAGUUCAAGACCAGCCUGGCCAACAUGAUGAAACCCCAUCUCUACUAAAAAUACAAAAAUUAGCUGGGCAUGAUGGUGGAUGCCUAUAAUCCCAGCUACUCGGGAGACUGAGGCAAGAGAAUCACUUGAACUUGGGAGGCGGAGGUUGCAGUGAGCAGAGAUCAUGCCACUGCACUCCAGCCUGGAUGACAGAGCAAGACUCCGUCUCAAAAAAAAAAAAAAAAAAAAAGGAUGUAAAAAUGACCAAUUAGUAAGAACUAUGAGGAAUGAACAGACUUGAAAAAAGGAAAUUUUUUUAGAUAUGAAAAGCCAGUUUUAGAAAGUCAACAGAUUAACAAGAAUUAUACAAUGAAUUAGAAUUUAUAACUGAAGAAAGGACUCAGAAUGUAGCACAGACAGAAGAUGGAAAAUUUUGAGAUAGUAGGAGAUACAGAAAUCUAAUUAAUGUAUCUAGGCACUGAAAUUGAUGGCUACUAACAUCACAAAGAGAGCCAAGAAGACAUUAUGUGCUUCCUGAUGGAAAUACAUACCACUACCUCUCAAAUAUCCCUGUAGAAAAAAAAAAACUAAUUUAAAUCUGACCAAGCCUUUCCAUCUAAUUACACACUUAUGAGAAAUACACCAGACAGAGGAAGUUUGGCCACACCAUGGAAUGCAGUCAGCAAAAUCUAAACUGUACAUCAUUCUAGAUGACAAAUGACUCAAUAACUCAGUUUCUUCCAAAAAUAAAUUGCAGAGGAGAUGGAAGGGAAAUCUAUAGACUAAAAAAAGACACAUAUAUGGACUUUAUAUGGAUCCUGAUUUGAACCAUAAAAAUCAUUUAUGAAGGCCAGGCACAGUGGCUCAUGCCUGUAAUCCCAGCAUUUUGGGAGGCUGAGGCGGGUAGAUCACCUGAGGUCAGGAGUUUGAGACCAGCCUGGCCAACAUGGUGAAAUCCUGUCUCUACUAAAAAUACAAAAAUUAGCUGGGCGUGGUGGUGGGUGUCUAUAAUCCCAGCUACUCAGGAGACUGAGGCAGGAGAAUUGCUUGAACCCGGGAGGCAGAUGUUGGAGUGUGCCAAGAUCGGGCCAUUGCACUCCAGCCUGGAGGCAACAAGAGUGAAACUGUGUCUCAAAAAAAAAAAAAAAAAAAUCACUUAUGAAAUAACUGGGAAAAUCUGAAUAGUUAUUUUAGAUAAGAUAAUUUUUUUAAGUGUGAUAAUGUAUUGUAGUUUUUAAAACCAUCUGUUACCAGGUGUGGUGGCACACACCUGUAGUCCCAGUUACUUAGGAGGCUGAGGUGGGAGGAUCACUUGAGCCCAGGAGUUCGAGGCUGCAGGGAGUUAUAUCAUGCUACUACACUCCAGCCUGGGCACUACAGCAAGGCCCUAUCUCAAAAAUAAUUUUCUUAAUAAAAAUAACAUUCUGAUACAGAUGAAGUGAUAAUAUUCAUCUGUAUAUGUAUAAGAUUUAAUUCAAAGUAACUGGGGGACACAGAAGGAGGAUAAGCAAUAGGUGUUGGUAUAGAUGAAACAAAACUGUCCGUGAACUGCUAUACACCGAAUAUCACUGAUGAUGCCUGGGGGUUCACUAUGCUUUUCUAAUAGCAUAGUGAAAUUUCCCAUAAUAAAAUGUUAAUUUUUGUUUAAUGUAAAAGGGAGAUUCAAACAAAAAAACUCAUAAAAGCAAACAACCCAGACAGAAAGAUCUGGUAAGAAGAAAGUGAAAUUAUUAUUCCAUUUAAAAAUAAAUUAUUAAUACUAAAAUUAGCCAGGUGUGGUGGUGCAUGCCUGUAACCCCAGCUACUCAGGGAGACUGAAGCAGAAGAAUCACUUGAACCGGGAGGCAGAGGUUGUAGUGAGCCAAGAUCAUGUCACUGCACUCCAGCCUGGGCGACAGAGCAGCAACUUGUCUCAGUAAAUAAAUAAAUAAAUAAAUAAAUAAAAAUUGUAUCUUUUCUAUUCUUCCCUCAAAAUAUUCACUUAUAUCCACUGAGGGUGUCAAAUAACUAAUAUGCUGCAAGGAAGGAUCUUUCUAUAAUCAAGGCAUCUUUGUGAUGUGAUUUUGGACAGAGAUUAAAUAACCAAAUUCAACCUAUUACAGUUGCCUAAAUGCAGUCUCACACACACAUAUACAAACAAUAAUGUAGCAGUGUACGGUGGGGCACAGGGAGUAGACUUGCCAAAGAAAAGUUGAACUAACAGUGAUGACCCCUGCUAGGCAGGAGCCAUAAAUUAUAUAAUGUGUUGUAAGCAUGAUAUAUACACCUGAUUUUGAAGACUUCAUCUUAGAAUAAAUUUUAAGUAUAUCUUUUUUUUCUUUUUUUUUUUCGGAAACAGGGUCUUGCUCCAUCACCCACGCUGGAGUGCAGUGGCACAAUCACAGCUCACUACAACCUCAACUUUCCUGGCUCAGUGAUUAUCCCACCUCAGCCUCCUGAGUAGCUGGGACUAACAGGCAUGUGCCAACAUGUCCCACUCAUUUUUUUUUUAUUUUUUGUAGAGAUGGGGUUUCACCAUGUUGUCCAGGCUGGUCUCAAACUCCUGGGCUCAAGCGAUCCUCCCUGCCUUGGCCUGUGCUGGGAUUACAGGUGUGAGCCACCGUGCUGGCCUCAGUACUAUUUUUUAUUGAUUAUAUGUUGAAAUAAUAAUAUUUUGGAUGUAGUGGUUUAAAAAAUUAUUUCAUCUGUUUCUCCUUACUUUUUAAUGUAGCUUCUAGAAAAUUUAAAAUUAUUUAAGUGG